UACGUAGGGGGCAAGCGUUAUCCGGAUUUACUGGGUGUAAAGGGUGGCGUAGGCGGUCCGUUAAGUCAGCGGUAAAAUUGCGGGGCUCAACCCCGUCGAGCCGUUGAAACUGGCAGACUUGAGUUGGCGAGAAGUAUGCGGAAUGCGUGGUGUAGGCGGUAGAAAUGCAUAGAUAUCACGCAGAACUCCGAUUGCGAAGGCAGCAUACCGGCGCCCUACUGACGCUGAGGCACGAAAGGCGUGGGUAUCGAACAGG
rnacentral:rRNA from 1 species